AUUGAACGCUGGCGGCAGGCUUAACACAUGCAAGUCGAGCGAGCGGCGGACGGGUGAGUAAUGUCUGGGAAACUGCCUGAUGGAGGGGGAUAACUACUGGAAACGGUAGCUAAUACCGCAUACCAUCAGAUGUGCCCAGAGGGGAUUAGCUAGUAGGUGGGGUAAUGGCUCACCUGGGCGACGCUCCCUAGCUGGUCUGAGAGGAUGACCGGCAACACUGGAACGGAGACACGGUCCAGACUCCGACGUGAGGUAGCAGUGGGGAAGAUUGCACAAUGGGCGCAAGCCUGAUGCAGCCAUGCCGCUUGUGUGAAGAAGGCCUUCGGGUUGUAAAGCACUUUCAGCGAGGAGGCGUUACUCGCAGAAGAAGCACCGGCUAACUACGUGCCAGCCGCCGCGGUAAUAC
rnacentral:rRNA from 1 species